UACGGGGGGGAGCAAGCGUUGUUCGGAUUUACUGGGCGUAAAGGGCGCGUAGGCGGCGUGACAAGUCACUUGUGAAAUCUCCGGGCUUAACUCGGAACGGUCAAGUGAUACUGUCGUGCUAGAGUACAGAAGGGGCAACUGGAAUUCUCGGUGUAGCGGUGAAAUGCGUAGAUAUCUGGAGGAAUACCGGUGGCGAAGGCGGCAUCCUGGACCGGCAUUGACGCUGAGGAGCGAAAGCUAGGGGAGCAAACGGGG
rnacentral:rRNA from 1 species